AGGCUUUUAUCUGAACAGCUUUAAAAAGCGCUUGCAGCUGUCCCAGUUUCAGGUGGAAAGAGCAGCCAUGUCGGUGCACAGCAACCUCUCGGUCAUGGCGUACGGUCCUGGGGAUCUGCGAAUGGAAAAGCUUCCAGUUCCUGAACCAGGCCUUAAUGAGGUGCAGUUGCAGAUGAACGCUGUUGGGAUCUGCCGAUCUGAUGUCCAUUACUGGCAACAUGGAAGGUUGGGAAGUUUUUACAUGAAGAACCCAAUGGUUCUGGGCCAUGAAGGUGCUGGGACGGUGACCAAAUUGGGACCGGGAGUGAAUCAUCUCCAAGUAGGGGAUAGAGUUGCCAUUGAACCAGCUUACCCCCUGAACAAUGAUGAAUUCUGCAAGUUUGGACGGUACAACCUUUCUCCGACAAUGUUCUGCUCUGCAACUCCACCGUAUCAUGGGCAAUUGUCCCAGUACUAUGUCCACAAUGCAAACUACUGCUUCAAACUCCCUGACUCUGUGAGCUCUGAGGAAGGUGCGUUCAUCGAGCCCCUCUCAGUCGCGAUCCACGCCUGCCGAAGGGCACGGGUAAAAAUGGGCAGCAAAAUCUUGAUUUGUGGAGCAGGUCCAAUUGGGCUUCUGAAUCUACUGGUGGCCAAGUCCAUGGGGGCGGCUCAAGUCGUGAUUUGCGAUUUAUCGACAGGCCGAUUGGAGAAGGCAAAGGAGGUGGGAGCUGAUUUCACCAUAAAGGUGGAGAAAGAGACUCCUCAGGACCUAGCCCAAAAGGUGGAGGCUGUUCUUGGUUCAAAGCCAUAUAGCACCAUUGAAUGUACUGGGGCAGAGUUCUGUGUCCAGGCUGGUGUCUAUCCCAUUUUUCUAGCUGGUCCCGAUCGGGCUGCAAGCCUUGAUAGCCUUCCUCGCUGUCCAGAGUGAUAUUCAGGACAUCUGGGAGUCAGCGAGGACUACGUGCUGGGUUCCUGGCAAGGCUCAUCUGUUGACAGAGCCAAUUAGAAUGGCACAAAGGCGAUCAGAGGUACAGUGAAUGGUUGGACCCUGGGGACUGGUGUAAAAUGGGCCAUCCUGCCAUUAAGAUGGAACAAGUGUAGAAGAGAUUUAGGGACCAAAUUAAGGGGAGAGGCUGAGCAGAGGUUGGGAUUUUUCCAUUGGAGCGUUGGAGGAUAAAGUGAGCUUAUACAAGUGUAUAAGAUAAUGAGGGGAAUAUAUAGGGUAAAUGAACACACUCAGUCUUUUUCCCAGGGUAGGAGAAUCAAACACCAGGGGUCUGAAUGGUCCUCAACCCAAAGAGCUGAUGGUUCAAAUUAAUAUCUGAGAGUGUAUGCAGUAUACAACCUAAAAUUCUUACUAUUCGCAGACAUCCACAAAACAAAAAAGGGUCUCAACCCAAAGCAUUGAUUUUACAUUUCCCUCCAUGGAUGCUGCCUGACCUGUUGAGUUCCUCCAACAUUUUGAGUGCUGAUUGAAGUUCCAGCAUCUGACAUCUCUUGUGUUUCAGUGAAAACUAGGAAGAGUAACAUGAGAAAGGAAUACAAAGACUCGUUGAGAGGGUAAAAUGAGAAGGAUAGUGAUGAGGCUCAUAUACAGCAUACACUCUGGUGAAAUCUGAUUAUAAUGAAUGGCCUGCCUUAUUUCUUUACUGUUGUAAGUAUGAUAUAGAUGAUAGGGGAUGAUAAAAUGGUCCAUCUAAAAAUGAUAUACCAGAGGGUUGAGGUCAAGACAAGGUCAUGCAGUAAGAAGGUUUGGGGAUUCUGCACGGACUCCAAAGUUGCCUGGGCAAGUUUUCUGUCAAUAAAUUUACACUUGGAGAAAAGAAUGACUGGCAAACAACUGCAGCAAGGGGCUGGUUUGGAUUUUGACAUCAGUGAACACAUGACCCGGUUUUAAACUGGGGCAGGUACACAAGACGAAUAAGCAAAUUUCAAGAGCUUAGAACAUCAGCCCAAGAUGUCACAAGAUUUAAGAUCAAAGAAAAGGAUGGUCCAGACAAAGCAUAAUAAUGCACCUUUGGCUGCCUGCAUAAUUUGGCUGAAUUUUAUCUAUCUGAAUAGCCACCUCUGUACGAAAGUCCUUAUACUGUUGUAUCUUCACUUCUGGGUUUUAGUAUGAUUUUCUCUUCCCCAGGCGACUCAGUCAGGGGGGACUGUGCUCCUAGUGGGGCACGGACCGGAUUUGGUGAGCGUCCCUCUGCUAAAUGCCGCCAUCCGAGAGGUGGACAUCCGGGGCAUGUUCCGAUACUGCAACACGUAUCCCGUAGCAAUUGCAAUGCUGGC